GAUGAACGCUAGCUACAGGCUUAACACAUGCAAGUCGAGGGGUAGCAGGGUAGCAAUACCGCUGACGACCGGCGCACGGGUGAGUAACACGUAUCCAACCUUCCCAUAACUCGGGGAUAGCCUUUCGAAAGAAAGAUUAAUACCCGAUAGUACUUUUUCAAGGCAUCUUUUUUAAGUUAAAGAUUUAUUGGUUAUGGAUGGGGAUGCGUUCCAUUAGAUAGUUGGUGAGGUAACGGCUCACCAAGUCUUCGAUGGAUAGGGGUUCUGAGAGGAAGGUCCCCCACAUUGGUACUGAGACACGGACCGAACUCCUACGGGAGGCAGCAGUGAGGAAUAUUGGUCAAUGGGCGAGAGCCUGAACCAGCCAAGUAGCGUGGAGGAUGAAGGUCCUAUGGAUUGUAAACUUCUUUUAUAGUAGAAUAAAGUGAUCCACGUGUGGAUUUUUGUAUGUAUACUAUGAAUAAGGAUCGGCUAACUCCGUGCCAGCCGCCGCCGUAACAC
rnacentral:rRNA from 1 species